ensembl:snoRNA small nucleolar RNA SNORA81
CCCUUCUUUUAAAGCACCCUGCUAACAUUGUGAAGGUGAAGCCUCUGGGCCUGGCUCUUGCAGACAUGUAAGCAUGGGUACACCAAGGAAGGAUAUAAAAGGCAAAGGGUUGCAAACGAGGCUAGGACGGACCUCUUUCCUAAUGUCCAGUGUCCUUUUCCUCAAGGCUCUAUGCUACAGGU